UAAUGAAUGUAGCAUGGUACUGUACACGGAAACUAAAUCAUGAGUUUGAAAUGUCUGUGCCCUCUCUGAGUACCUAAUCGGUUCUUUGAUUUGCGGGCCUGGUUUAAACCCACAUUC
rnacentral:snoRNA from 14 species